UGGGGAAUAUUGCACAAUGGGCGCAAGCCUGAUGCAGCCAUGACGCGUGUAUGAAGAAGGCCUUCGGGUUGUAAAGUACUUUCAGUCGGGAGGAAGGUGUCAAGGUUAAUAACCUUGGCAAUUGACGUUACCGACAGAAGAAGCACCGGCUAACUCCGUGCCAGCAGCCGCGGUAAUACGGAGGGUGCAAGCGUUAAUCGGAAUUACUGGGCGUAAAGCGCACGCAGGCGGUUGAUUGAGUCAGAUGUGAAAUCCCCGGGCUUAACCCGGGAAUUGCAUCUGAUACUGGUCAGCUAGAGUCUUGUAGAGGGGGGUAGAAUUCCAUGUGUAGCGGUGAAAUGCGUAGAGAUGUGGAGGAAUACCGGUGGCGAAGGCGGCCCCCUGGACAAAGACUGACGCUCAGGUGCGAAAGCGUGGGGAGCAAACAGG
rnacentral:rRNA from 1 species